GUUGGUUAUUGUACAAAAUUAAAAAUGCUACCAUCUAUGUGGUUUAUGGUUAAUGAUAGUAAACAAUUAUAUAUACAUGUAUCUACACUCUUAAUAUAAAUGCAUUAUAUCAGGGUUUUUUUGGUCUUAAAACCGGUGGAUUAUUGCAGGUUUUCCUGUUGUGUCCUUUCUCUUGGCACCUGCUGCAUUUGUUUUGAAUUUUGAUUUUAGAUCCGUGUUUGUACCUCCCUACUUUUGGUCUUCCAGCUGGUCUUCUUGUGUUUGGUGGUUUUACAACCAUGUUUCUUACUUCUUCUGGUACAUCCCAGUUUUCUUUGUCAUCUAACGGCAUAAUUGAAGCUGAAUAUGUGUUGACCAAAGUUGUUUUAUAGUAUUUUUUUGAGCAAAAAUCAUAACAGCUCAAAUUUCGCUUGCUCAUAACAGCAGCAGCAUGCGGACAUGGCAUCUCAUGGUACUGAAAUUUUCCACAUGUGCAUGUCCUUUUGUCGAUGUCCACAAUAUAUUGUUUGACGACAUCGUAAACAGUAAAAAUCACUAAGUUUGAUGUCUCAACCUACAUCACAAAUUAACUGUUGUUAGAAUACAGUACAACUGGAAUCAUUUUCAUUAUCUGAAAAAAG
rnacentral:lncRNA from 1 species